GGAAUGAGUGCUGCCCGUGGACGUGGCCACCAGUGGCUUCAGGGAUCGAGAGCCUGGCAUAGCAAAUGCCCUGCACGCAACGAGCUCUGAGUGAGCAAUGAUUGACAGCGGAAAUUACACUCCCGUCAGAGCCACACAGCUGUGUUUUCGAUCCCACUGAUUCAGUAUUUCCCAUCAGAAACAGCUUUUGGGCUUUCAGUAUUGCAACCGGUUUGCCCUCACGUACAUAAAGAUGCAUGGGGAAAUGAAAUCUGGCAGUCCACGUGAACUGAGGACAGGCUGGCUCUUCCAGUUACGGGACCGAAGAGAAGCCAAAGGACGUGGGGCAUUCUGGAAACUUAAGAGCAAACUGGCUCAUCACUCAGAUGUAACCAACCACACCUGCACUGUCCAAUGCAGCGCCCCCUACCCACACGGAGCUCCUUACAUCAAUUCAAGUUACAGAGGAUUUAAAGUGUAGUUUUUAGACCCCGCCACAUGACAAGGGACCUACAGCCACAGGUGACAGAAGCUACCACACUGGGUGAC